UUCCAGGUGGCGAGGUACAUGUACCUCGCCGACUGGAAGGUUCUCCUUCCAGCCAUUGAGGUACAUGUACCUCACCUGCUGGAAGGUAGGCGAGGUACAUGUACCCGCCGACUGGAAGGGUUUCCUUCCGGUCAACGAGGUACAUGUACCUUGCUGACUGGAA
rnacentral:miRNA from 1 species